AGCUGAACGAUGAGCGGCUCCAGCGAGACGUUGAAAAACAACGCUUGGAGGGAGAAAUUGCAUCUCUAAAACAACAGGUGGGAAGCUUUAAGUAUUACACGCGAGAAGAGUGCUAGAAUAACUUUCGUAAUAUUAGCAAUGUAAUUAACUACUUGUUGUACACUUUCAACGGAAAUCCGUAUGUGAAUAUAUAUAUAACAGUUCACAGCUCGAAAGGGGAAACCGAGGCCGCUUUUGCAUAUUUUUGAUGUUUUCAAACUAACUAAAACCAAUCACCAGCGGGUUACUUUGACUAAACAUUUUCUGGUUAUGAACCUAUGACAUAGCCAUAGGUCUAAAUAACCCGCUGGUGAUUGGUUUUCGCUUAGUUUGAAAACAUUAAAAAUACGGAAAAGCGGCCUCGGUUUGCCUGUUCGAGCAGUAAAUACAAGGAGCACAAGACUCAACAUGUGUUAUCAUCGAAG
rnacentral:lncRNA from 1 species